GUGGGGAAUAUUGGACAAUGGGCGAAAGCCUGAUCCAGCAAUGCCGCGUGAGUGAUGAAGGCCUUAGGGUUGUAAAGCUCUUUUACCAGGGAUGAUAAUGACAGUACCUGGAGAAUAAGCUCCGGCUAACUCCGUGCCAGCAGCCGCGGUAAUACGGAGGGAGCUAGCGUUGUUCGGAAUUACUGGGCGUAAAGCGCGCGUAGGCGGUCCAUCAAGUCAGAGGUGAAAGCACGGGGCUCAACCCCGGAACUGCCUUUGAAACUAGCGGACGAGAAUCUUGGAGAGGUCAGUGGAAUUCCGAGUGUAGAGGUGAAAUUCGUAGAUAUUCGGAAGAACACCAGUGGCGAAGGCGACUGACUGGACAAGUAUUGACGCUGAGGUGCGAAAGCGUGGGGAGCAAACAGGAUUAGAAACCCCAGUAGUCC
rnacentral:rRNA from 1 species